UCUUAGCCAGCUAUUUCCUCCAAGCAGGAAAAGAUCCAAAAUCUGCCUGAAAUGAAAACCAAGCCCAAAAUAUGAUUGCUUAAAUUGUUUCCUUCUUAUGGGAUGCUGAGAAGCUGCAUUGGGAAAUACUCUAAUUUAAGGAGGAGUUUAUUAAAACUUGGCUAAAUUCAGUGUGAGAUGGAAAUCUGAUUAGCCAACUUUAGCUGGAAGACUGUAAGUCAUGUUGUGGUCGGCUGCAAACAGUGGCCAUGCUGGCUGAAGGAUCCUGGGAGAAAUAGCAUGAAGAAAAGUAACUACUCCACGCUCUAAGUUUGCAAAUCAGUCACAAAAGUUCUCUGCCUCAUUAAGUUGCAUCCCUCUCACCUUACAACCAGAGCAAAGUUCAUGGGCCAGCAAGGUGCAAGUCAAAGUAGCCGCCUCCUCUUCAUUCCCCUUUUCCAGCAUUCUUGCAGAAGGGCCAUUGACUUGGCCACAUGCAAUGAUCCAAGUACAGCACCUGACGCGGGAGUGAAGAACAUUGAAGCCAAAAGUGAAGAAUUGUAGCUGUCCAGACAAUUCAUGGACUUCAGCUCCCAUCUGCAGGAGCAGGCAUGGAAAGUGUUCCAGCAGAUAACAAUUGGGAUGUUCCCCCUUUUUUCACUACCACCAGUGGAUCUCCUUUAUCCACAACGUAUAAAGAAUUUUAUACGUUGCUGCCAACAGGACUGAUUUAU